rnacentral:misc_RNA from 1 species
GAAAUGCGAUAAGUAGUGUGAAUUGCAGAAUUCAGUGAAUCAUCGAAUCUUUGAACGCACAUUGCGCCCUUUGGUAUUCCAAAGGGCAUGCCUGUUCGAGCGUCAUUUGUACCCUCAAGCCUUGCUUGGUGUUGGGCGCCUUGUCUUGCGAGACUCGCCUUAAAACAAUUGGCAGCCAGCACACUGGUUUUGAAGCGCAGCACAAAUUGCGAUUUCUACUAGAAGUGCGGGCGUCCAUGAAGCGUACUUUCUUUUACGUUUGACCUCGGAUCAGGUAGGGAUACCCGCUGAACUUAA